rnacentral:rRNA from 1 species
GGGUCAGUAGGUUGGUCGUGCCACCGGUACGUACUGGUCUCACUGAUUCCUCCUUCCUGAAGAACCGUAAUGCCAUUAAUUUGGUGUUGCGGGGAAACAGGACUGUUACUUUGAAAAAAUUAGAGUGUUUAAAGCAAGCUAACGCUUGAAUACAUUAGCAUGGAAUAAUGAAAUAGGACGAUCGAUCCCAUUUUGUUGGUUUCCAGGAUUGACGUA